AUACGUAGGUGACAAGCGUUAUCCGGAUUUACUGGGCGUAAAGGGCGUGUAGGCGGUCUUGCAAGUCAGAAGUGAAAUUCCUGAGCUCAACUCGGGCGCUGCUUCUGAAACUGCAGGACUUGAGUGCUGGAGGGGAUAGCGGAAUUCCUAGUGGAGCGGCAAAAUGCGCAGAUAUUAGGAAGAACACCGGUGGCGAAGGCGGCUAUCUGGACAGUAACUGACGCUGAGGCUCGAAAGCGUGGGGAGCAAACAGGAUUAGAUACCCUGGUAGUCCACGCUGUAAACGAUGAUUACUAGGUGUUGGGGACCAAAGGUCCUCGGUGCCGCCGCAAACGCAUUAAGUAAUCCACCUGGGGAGUACGUUCGCAAGAAUGAAACUCAAAUGAAUUGGCGGGG
rnacentral:rRNA from 1 species